GCAGAUGACACUUUUCCCACCUCAUUUUUUUUUUUUUUUUUUUUUACAUAUUACAUUAAAUAACAAAGACAGGAAAGCAAAUCCUACCUGUGUGAUCCCUGGGAGGAGGAGGAUGGAGGUUCAGGUGGUGUUUCAUGAGACUUCCACAGGAGGAGGAGGUGAAGUGAUCAUUCUGUAGAAAGACAACCUGAGGGAAUGUGACUGACCACCGGCCACAGAUAAGUUUGUCGCUUUUCUCCCAAGAAUCAUAAAAUUUUUGAAUUAAAACUGCAAAAAGAACUCCACAUCUUCGCCUGCUGCUUUGGGUCCUUCAACCAAUCUACACAUCUUUCUCAAAACAG